AAAAAACUAAUAAUAUUGAAAGAAACAAAAAAGAAAGGGGAUUAGGGUUAAGCAUCUGUGACCUUUAGACUUUCUUCUUCUUCACGACCAAACGGCCGGAAUUUCUCAAUGGUGAAAUCUCCGAUCGAAGUUCCGAUCGCCGCCACGGAUAAAGCCAGGAGCUCAACGUCCUCGCAUCCUCUUUGUCCACCCUUAUCUCUGCCGGAGGCACACUCUGGAGAUUCUUUGAAGGUGACGAGAGAACAAGAAAUCCGGAGAGUCAAGAUUCCAAUUGUUGUUGUUGUUUGAUGAUACUUCACGAAGUGAAACUCGAAGGUUCAUGAAGUUGUGCGGUGGUGAUUUUUGCGGAGCAGUAGAGGAUUGAUGACGGAGAUGAUGAUUGUUGAAGUGAGAUUGAAGAGGUUGAAUCGAGAGAAUGAAGAAGGCUUUUUUUUCUGAGAUAUGGAUUGAAGUUUCUGGUAAUUGAAGAGGAUAGAGAGAGUUGAAGCAGGUUGUGAUGACGGAGUUUUAUAAUUUUAGUGGUGAAUGGUGGAUGAAGGAAGAGGUGAGGGAUGAAGGUGAUGAUUCCAGAAUUCUGAAAUGAUUGUGAUGAUUUAUGGAGAAAUGGUGGAGAUAAUUGGAGAAGGAGAAUGAUGAAUUGAGGGAGUAUGAGAAAAAUGGUGGAGAGCUUUAAGAGAGUGUGGAAGUAUGGUUAUAUAGAGGUUGAAGGAUGAGAUGAAGUUUGUUGAAUUCAGUUAUGGGGUGGUUACAAAUUUUGUUAGUAGUUAUAAAACUGUUAGGAAUUAGUUUAGGUUGAAACUGAGUUUGUUAAAUCGGUUAUGGAAUGUCUCAAGGUCUUGAACCAACCGUCUCUUGUUGUUGAAGCUGUUGUGUUGUGUUGUGGCUUCGACUUCGAAUAGAAGCGAGAGUGGUGGACUUAGGAGUAUGUGACAGGUCUGGGAAUUCAAGGCAGCCAAGGUUCUGUUUACAUAGGCAUGGAAGAAGAAAUAUGGGAAAAUGACUCCUAGGCACACAUGGAAAUUAUGGAUUGAAGUGAUCUUGAAAGAAGAUUAGUGGAGCUUAGCCCUUGUAGCAUAAGUUUAAAUUUCUUUUUCUUUGUAGUUUACUGAACAUAGCUUGUGUAAUGAACCUAUAUUGAUAUUGAAUAGACUCACUCUUUGAGAGAUUCGAAAUUCAAUGUACAAAUUGUCUUGAAUUUUUGUGGUUAAAAAUGGAGAAUAUGUAAUGGACUCUUGGAUUUUAUAAUAAUGAAUGGGUUUUGAUGGCCUUUGAGCUUGAAAUAUAA